CAACUAACAUGCUUAAUGUAAGGCACUAUCAGCUGUAUUAAAGAUUAGCUUGCUCAAUGUAAAUUUUUUGUUACAAUUCAGUGUUUCCAUCAUCAAUAACAAUAAUGUUUUCAUCGUUAUUCUUAAUUAGGACCAGAAUGUGUUCCCGAUGUAAACUUGUAAUUUCAAUGGAUAUGCUUCGUUUUGAUGGUAUAAUUUUCUGCCUUUGACAAAAGAGUUAAUGAGAUGAUUUUAUUCAAGUGUAUAGUUCAAUUCACAUCCUGCUAUGAUAACAAUGAACGCAAGGAUAAUAUAAAAAAAGAAAUUACAGUGCAGUCUGAUUCAGAGCUUGAAUUGUAUUGGAAUUCUUGACAGUUUUAUACCAAUUUCAACUGAUUCCACUUUAACCUUUCUAAUACAUAAGGAAUUCAAUUAUAUAUUAUUUCCCUUCUUCCUUAAAGUUCAUUGGAAGUUCAGAAAUUGAGAAUGAGCCCGAUAUAAAUUGUAUAAUUGCUUUUAAUGAAGAAAAAGAAGGAGAAAACUUUAUAAGUUUAUAUUAUUGGCUUUGGA